rnacentral:rRNA from 1 species
AGAGUUUGAUCCUGGCUCAGGAUGAACGCUAGCGGCAGGCUUAAUACAUGCAAGUCGUGGGGCAGCGCGGGUAGCAAUACCUGGCGGCGACCGGCAAACGGGUGCGGAACACGUACGCAACCUUCCUUCAAGUGGGGAAUAGCCCAGGGAAACUUGGAUUAAUACCCCGUAAUACUAUGAGGUGGCAUCACCUUAUACUUAUAGCUACGGCGCUUGGAGAUGGGCGUGCGCCUGAUUAGGUAGUUGGCGGGGUAACGGCCCACCAAGCCUACGAUCAGUAACUGGUGUGAGAGCACGACCAGUCACACGGGCACUGAGACACGGGCCCGACUCCUACGGGAGGCAGCAGUAAGGAAUAUUGGGCAAUGGACGCAAGUCUGACCCAGCCAUGCCGCGUGGAGGAUGAAGGUCCUCUGGAUUGUAAACUUCUUUUAUCUGGGAAGAAACCCACGAUUUCUAUUGUGGUUGACGGUACCAGACGAAUAAGCACCGGCUAACUCCGUGCCAGCAGCCGCGGUAAU